rnacentral:RNase_P_RNA from 1 species
CCAGAGGGCCGGGCGGCCGCGGGAGAGCUUGCUCUCACGAGGAAAGUCCGGGCUCCACGGAACUGCGGUGCCGGGUAACGCCCGGCGGUGCGCCACUAGCUCAGGCGACGGCGUAUCAGGGACAGUGCCACAGAAAGGACACCGCCCGCCUUCGGACGGGUAAGGUCGAAAGGGUGCGGCAAGAGCGCACCGCGGACCUGGCAACAGGUUCGGCACGGUAAACCCCACCGGGUGCAAGACCGAAUAGGGGCGCCGCAUGAGCCUAGGUUCCGGCUCGGCGCCCGGGUUGGUUGCUUGAGGGGCGGGGCAACCCGUCUCCUAGAGGAAUGGCCGCACAUUCGCCGACGGCUGCAGCCAAGGCGGAGGACAGAACCCGGCUUACAGGCCCUCUGGCAAU